CCUACGGGUGACAGCAGUCGAGAAUCAUUCACAAUGGGGGAAACCCUGAUGCAGCGACGCCGCGUGGGUGAAGGAGCGUUUCGGCGCGUAAAGCCCUAUCGGCAGGGAAGAAGAAGGACGGUACCUGACUAAGAAGCCCCGGAUAACUACGUGCCAGCAGCCGCGGUAAUACGGAGGGGGCAAGCGUUAUCCGGAUUUACUGGGUGUAAAGGGGGGGCAGACGGCAGCGCAAGCCAGGAGUGAAAGCCCGGGGCCCAACCCCGGGACUGCUCUUGAAACUGCGCGGCUGGAGUGCAGGAGGGGCAGGCGGAAUUCCUGGUGUAGCGGUGAAAUGCGUAGAGAUCAGAAGGAACACCGGUGGCGAAGGCAGCCUGCUGGACUGCGACUGACGUUGAGGCCCGAAAGCGUGGGGAGCAAACAGGAUUAGAUACCCGAGUAGUC
rnacentral:rRNA from 1 species